rnacentral:rRNA from 1 species
UCGCUCUUCAACGAGGAAUCCCUAGUAAGCACAAGUCAUCAGCUUGUGUUGAUUACGUCCCUGCCCUUUGUACACACCGCCCGUCGCUACUACCGAUUGAAUGGCUUAGUGAGACCCUCGGAUUGGUAUUCAGAAGCUUUAACCGGCAUCUGUUUGCUGAGAAGUUGGUCAAACUUGGUCAUUUAGAGGAAGUAAAGGCGGAAUUGGCGAAUAAAGAUGUGUGACUUGGCAUAAUUUGGAUCAUCGAAUCUGAACGCAACUGCACUCCUGUAGCGGGAGUAUGCUGUUUGAGGUCGUAGAAUAAAAAAUCGAGCGUCGCUCUUUUUUUAAGGGUGAUCGCGUCGGAAUGAGCCGUCUUUCAAAUGUUAAAUUCAUGUCAAAGUGGCUUAAAAUUCAUCCAUCCCGGUACGAUUAAAGCGUAUUUAAGAUCAAUUUUGAUUAAGAACGCGCGAUGACGUACCAUCUCAUGUAGUACGUUUGACUUGGCGUCGUCAGGAUCAUUCGUAUACGAUACUCAACUUUUGACCUCAAAUCAGGUAAGAAUACCCGCUGAACUUAAGCAUAUCAAUAAGCGGAGGAAAAGAAAAUAACAAUGAUUCCCUCAGUAACGGCGAGCGAAGAGGGAUAAGCUCAAAUUUUAAAUCUGUUGGGUUUCACUUAACAGAGUUGUAUUUUGAAGAAACGUUUUCUGCAUCCAGGAUUAGCCUAAAUCCUUUGGGAUAAGGUAUCAUGGAGGGUGAGAAUCCCGUUCAUGGUUAAUCUUAAGGAAGCUCUACGAUACGUUUUCCAAGAGUCGAGUUGUUUGGGAUUGCAGCUCAAAAUGGGAGGUAAAUUUCUCCUAAGGCUAAAUAUUGGCGAGAGACCGAUAGCGAACAAGUACCGUGAGGGAAAGAUGAAAAGAACUUUGAAAAGAGAGUUAAACAGUACGUGAAAUUGUUGAAAGGGAAACGAUUGAAGUCAGUCAUACCAACGGGAAAUCAACCUUUUGAGCUUGAUUUCGUGGGUUUUGAAGAGUUUCAAAGCCUUCGGAUUCGCGAGAUUGGGAUCUCUCGGUGUAUUUUCUCGUACGGUUAGUCAACAUCGGUUUUGAAUGUCAUAAAAUGACUGGAGGAAUGUAGCUUCGAUCUCGUAUUGAAGUGUUAUAGCCUUUGGUAGAUGUGAUGUUUGAGACCGAGGAUUGCAACGGAUACCCUUCAGGGCUAUUCGUCUGAUCUCUGAUACGUUGCCUUGAUGUUGAAAGCUUGCUUAUGAUGUUAGGGUAUUACGGUCAAAAGGUUAGAACGAAUUACAUUCGUUAAGGAUGUUGACGUAAUGACUUUAAACGACCCGUCUUGAAACACGGACCAAGGAGUCUAACAUAUGUGCGAGUGUUU